AGCAACGUAGCGCAGUGGAAGCGUAUUGGGCUCAUAACCCAAGGGUCGGUGGAUCGAAACCACCCGUUGCUA
rnacentral:tRNA from 1 species